rnacentral:rRNA from 1 species
AUUUUUUUUUUUUUAUUUUUUAGUAUUGCAUACUGGUAGAAUAAUAUGUCAUUUUUAUGAAUUAUAGAAAUAAAUUGUUUAAAAUUGGAUUUUUUUUGUUUUUACGAAAUUAGGUAUAUCCAGUUUGGUUAUUGAUAAGACGUAUUUUUAUUUCUGUUUUUUAUUUUUUAUUGUUUAAGUUAUAUCUCUAUUAGGUUUGGUUUUAAUUUUUUUAUUUUAUUAAUGUUUUUUUGUUUUUUAUAUUUUUUGUUGUUUUUUUUUUUUGUUAUGGUUAAUUUUGUAAUCAUUUUAUAAUUUUUACUUUAGUAAAAUUUGUUUCUGUGGAUGUUUUUGGUUUUGAAUUUUGUUUUUGAACUAAAUUUGUUGUUAAAUGUUUAUUAAAAACUUAGGUUUUUUUUUAAAGUUGUCUUCUGCUCAAUGAGUAUUUAAAUGGCAGCCUUAGCGUGAUGGCAUAAAAGUAGCGUAAGUGAUUUGUUUUUUUAAUGUUUUCAAGUAUGAAUGAAGUUUUUAGCAAUUUUUUUGUUGUCUUUUUUUUUGAAUUAUUUUUUUUAUUAAAAAUUAUGGAUUUUAGUAUUACAAAGAUAAGUCUUCGGAAAUUUUUUUUUAGAUUAGCUAUUUUUUUUGUUUUCUAAAUUUUUCUUGGGGAUGGAUUUUAGAAAAUUUUUACACUAUUAAUAUUUUUAAAAAUUACUUCGGAGUUAACAGGGUUGUGGACAUAUAAAUAGUUUUUAUAUUAUUAUGCUGCGCUACAUCGAUGUUGUAUAUUUUUUAGUGAGGGGGAGAGAAUUUUUUUAGUUUGAGACUGUUCUUCUUGUAUAAAAAUUAAACUUGAUAUUAGUUUAGUUCGUCGUGAGACAGAGCGGUUUAUCUUGUAUAUUUUUUUUUUUAUUGGUGUUAGUACGAAAGGAAAGUUAUGAAGGCUAAUAUUUAUGGCUUUUGUAUUUUUAUGGAUUUAUU